rnacentral:rRNA from 1 species
AGUCGAACGCAGUAGCAAUACUGAGUGGCAAACGGGUGAGUAUAAUGUGGGAAUCUGCCUUUUGGUUUGGAAUAACACGGGGAAACUUGUGCUAAUACCGAAUAAGCCUUUACAGGGAAAGUUUUAACGCCGAAAGAUGAGCCCGCACUCGAUUAGCUAGUUGGUAAGGUAAAAGCUUACCAAGGCAAUGAUCAAUAGCUGUUCUUAGAGGAAGACCAGCCACAUUGGGACUGAGACACGGCCCAGACUCCUACGGGAGGCAGCAGUGGGGAAUCUUGCACAAUGGGGGAAACCCUGAUGUAGCGAUGCCGCGUGAGUGAAGAAGGCCUUUGGGUUGUAAAACUCUUUCGUCGGGGAAGAAAAUGACUGUACCCGAAUAAGAAGGUCCGGCUAACUUCGUGCCAGCAGCCGCGGUAAUACGAAGGGACCUAGCGUAGUUCGGAAUUACUGGGCUUAAAGAGCUCGUAGGUGGUUAAAAAAGUUGAUGGUGAAAUCCCAAGGCUCAACCUUGGAACUGCCAUCAAAACUUUUUAGCUAGAGUGUGAUAGAGGUAAGUGGAAUUUCUAGUGUAGAGGUGAAAUUCGUAGAUAUUAGAAAGAACACCAAAUGCGAAGGCAACUUACUGGGUCACUACCGACACUGAGGAGCGAAAGCAUGGGUAGCGAAGAGGAUUAGAUACCCUCGUAGUCCAUGCCGUAAACGAUGUGUGCUAGACGUUGGAAAUAUACUUUUCAGUGUCGCAGCGAAAGCAUUAAGCACACCGCCUGGGGAGUACGAC